GGUCCCAUCGUCUAACGGUUAGGACACGUCUCUUUCAAGGACGGAACCCGGGUCCGACUCCCGGUGGGACCG
rnacentral:tRNA from 1 species